rnacentral:rRNA from 1 species
GACGUAGGGCGCGAGCGUUGUCCGGAUUUACUGGGUUUAAAGGGUGCGUAGGCGGGCCAUUAAGUCAGUGGUGAAAGCUCCGAGCUUAACUCGGAAACUGCCAUUGAUACUAUUGGUCUUGAAUUCGGUCGAGGUUGGCGGAAUGUGUCGUGUAGCGGUGAAAUGCUUAGAUAUGACACAGAACACCGAUUGCGAAGGCAGCUAGCUAGACCGACAUUGACGCUGAGGCACGAAAGCGUGGGGAUCAAACAGG